UACGGGGGGGGCAAGCGUUGUUCGGAAUUACUGGGCGUAAAGGGCCAGUAGGCGGCCAACUAAGUCGGAUGUGAAAUCCCCAGGCUUAACCUGGGAACUGCAUCCGAUACUGGAUGGCUUGAAUUCGGGAGAGGGAUGCAGAAUUCCAGGUGUAGCGGUGAAAUGCGUAGAUAUCUGGAGGAAUACCGGUGGCGAAGGCGGCAUCCUGGACCGACAUUGACGCUGAUGAGCGAAAGCUAGGGGAGCAAACGGGG
rnacentral:rRNA from 1 species